ensembl:lncRNA
AGUACCUAAUGAAUAGUACUAGCACUUAAUGGAAAAGAUACUAGUAUCUAAAAAUAAGUACUAGUACCAUAAAAAUAGAUCCUAGUACGGCUUAUAGAUUAAAUGUUAAAACGGCUUUCCAUACACUGGGCGUUACCAAAGAGAACUUUGGUUUUAUGAGACCGGUUUAUAGCCUACAUUGAGCUAAUUCAGCCGAAGCCUUUCAGAUACAGUAUCAUCAUGUAUACCGCGCUUUUGUUUCUUGCUUUGUUCUCGUGCUUUUCUCUCAUAGCGGGAAAGUCGCUUGAAGGUGAAGCGUGUGUUGGGAUUCAGAGAGAAGAUUCCUAUGACUUUGAGCUGCCCAACGCUGUAGCGGUGAACGUGCAAGACCCUGCGUGUGAUGCGGAGUGGACCAUUGACCAAUUCACAGCAUUCCUGGAUGGAAAUUCAACUCACUGUCCUCAUCCCUUCAAAAAAGUGACUCGUCGGGGGAUCAGUGUGUCUUACUGUCCAGCUUCAGUCAAAUUCCACGUCUCUUGUCCAAUAUACACCAAAGUCCUCACAUGUUGUUGCACAAAUUCCACCAAAAAUCCAGUUUAUAACACAACCCUGCCAUCUGGAGAUAUGUCUUCCUCUGCCAUCAAAACUGAUUCAUCAGUGAGGAUACACUAUUGUGCCAUUGCUGUUGCUGUCACGUUUGCCUUAACCCUCGUCAUCUUGGCUUUCCUCAUCUGCAGGACAAACAGCAGUGCAAAAUAUGCUCCUACAAGAGCCUCAGCUGAUGGACAAAACCAGCCUUGUUCAGUAUAAUUAUCCUAAGGAGGCAUCUGAACUUGCACUAGAAACACAUGGCGUGGAGUCAUGACAACACAUUAUCCGAUAAUGUAACAUGUAUUAUAUUAUAUUAUAUUAUAUUAUAUUAUAUUAUAUUAUAUUAUAUUAUAUUAUAUUAGAGAAAACAUAAGCACUAAAUGAAACAGUAAAAUAUCUGAAUUUUACUAUAUAUAUAUAUAUAUAUAUAUAUAUAUAUAUAUAUAUAAUAAAUAUACUAAAUAAAAAUUUAAUUAUAUUAUAUUAUAUAUUUAUUAUAUUAUGAAAGCUAAUAUAAAGUUUAUAACUUUGUAUUUCCUCCCAGAAUUUACAAUAGCUCCCUGUCUCUGUUACAUGAGGUUUACCACAUGAGGUCACUGUCUACAAAGUUUGUAUCAUUUCAUGUUAUGGCGCUAGCGUUCAUCUGUUAGCCCUCAAGUCUCGUGUUGCUCACGUCACAGCUGUAAAUAGUUGCUUGUAGUUCUGGGCAUUCUUAUAGGGAUUUUCUUAGUUAUUUCAGGUUUUUCCAUCCUUGUAGCUCUUAUUUAGCCUUUGUGUUAUAGGAUACUCUGAAAUUGCCAUUAAACCCAUGACUAUUUCUCAAGUCUUUGAAUCUGUCGAGUCACAAGCAAUUCAAAACUAUAAUGCCAACGCUUGGAUUUGUGAACGUGUGUUUAAACAAGAUGUGCUUUCAGUCAUUUCUUUGAAUUGACGAUAACACGAGACUCAGCAAGCGCUUUUUUAUGUUGAAUUUCGACCUUGGGUUGAUUAGCUUAAAAAAUAUAGCGUAGUAAACAAAUAAAAUCUCACUUACCGGUGGACAACAGCUUUACAUGCCAUCUGUCUCGGUGUUAGGCAGAGUCAGUGAGUCACCGCUUGCCAUGACGCGUUGGUAAAUGGAGUAAAUUAUAUGAUCAUUUCAUCAUAAAUGAUAUCAUCCAACUCAGCUCACUGAGAAGUGAGCCCAUAAACGGAGAUGUUUAUUUAUUUAUUUAUUUGCAUAAAACUACUAUAUUCAAAUCACACAAAUGAGCACAAUCAAGUUUAAACAUCGCGUUAGCACAAAUUCUAAGUGUAUGUUGCUUGGCAACGGAAUGCGUAACGCACGUCAACAUCAGGUGCCUGGAGACACUGGCGCAGAGACGCAUAGAUGGCGGAGAGAAACACUCUGGAGAAGCUCGAUUUGGGCGCUUUAAGCCUCGAGCAGCAGGAGAAGCUGCACCAGUUCAAGGUAUUUCAUUUUCUUCUGCUGAAAGUUAUUAACGAGUCUGGAAAUUUUAUUGGCUCUGGAUAAAGUUCUACUAAUUAACCUCGUAAGUCUAAAGAACAGUAGAUAUAUGGCAUUUAUUAAAGCUAUUGUAUGGGAAAUGUGAUUGAUUUUUUUUUUUUUUUAAAGCAAAACCUAAACUUCACAUUUGUGAUUUCACAUGCUCCAGGUCAAGACGCGGAUAGCUAAUGAAAAAUAUUUAAGGUCUCAUCCAGAGGUGGAAAUGUUACUCAGUGACUUCUUAAGGGAUGUGUUUCUGAAAAGGCCUACAGAUAUUCGUGAAUUUGCAGCAGAUCAUUUCAGUGACCCAGGACUGCCAAAGAAAAUUCAGGAGCAAAUGAAUAUCCAUAAUAAGUGAAAAAUGGAUUUAUAGUGUUUUGUAAUAAAAGAGAGAAAAAUGAUGCAAUGUGUGUCAGUCUUGAUCCCUACAUAUGCAUGAAAGCAUCUUUGUUGUAUACUGUUAUUAGCAACCAUUAGUGUGCAGGUAUCAGGGGAGAGGACAGUCCAGGCUUGUUUGCUAAAUGAGUCCACAGAGAAGAAAGGCAAAUUAAGCUGAAUUGAACAGGUCUUUCUAUUCUGUUAAAGGGAUACUCCACCCUAAAAUGAAAAUGUUGUCAUUAAUCACUUACCCCAAUGUCGUUCCAAACCGGUAAAAGCUUUGUUCAUCUUCGGAACACAAUUUAAGAUAUUUUAGAUGAAACAUACAGCGUCAUACUUACUAUUGUUUCCAC